rnacentral:lncRNA from 1 species
AGCGGAGCGGAGCGGAGCGGAGCGCAUCGCAUCGGGGAUACUCCGCGGGCCAGCCCGCCUCACCGUGCGCUUUCUCCCCCGUGUAGCCUUUGCUGGAGGAGGGUGAGACUUGGAAGGAGUGCCAGCUCGUCCGGCAAGUGAGCGGCGAGGUCACAAAAUGGAUUCAGACAAACCAGAGGAUCAGAAAAAGCGGCAAAAAGAAAAGAAAGCGGGAUGAAGUCGUUUUCCAAAAGGAAGUCCUAUUUCUAAUACAAGAUGGAUGACUUUGCUAUACUGAGACACCGCCAAAUCAAAGCAACUGCUUCCGCGUCCAAGUACAAAAUCUAGGACAGAGAGAUAACUCUGUAUGGAAUAAGUGAAACAGAAUUGUGGAGGAAAGGUUGCUGACAACUGCCGGGGAAUUGCUUCUUGAAAAAGUUGCCUUCCAAACAGUUAAGUUUGUAGGAGCUGACUUUACAUACGCAUAUAUGUAUUUAAAGAACAUUUAAAGAUACCAUGUGCUGGAUAAGAACUGUGUAACUGGUAGUGUUAACUGCACUCAAGGGGCAUAUGAACCAGUGGGGCAGCUUGUGUAGAAAGGUGUGGUGCUGCUCUCCAGUGUGGACCCACACACGAUGGGUUAUAGCAGUGUAACAGAUUCCAUGGGUGAGAAGGACUUUCUAGACGAGUAACUAAGGGUUC